GGCCUUGCAGGAUACCGCUCAUGAGCCUACAUUGAAGAUGUCCUUAGGGACUAUGGACAUAAACGCGCUCGUAAUAAGCGGAUCGGACCCGGGGGCGGUACCCGGCGGCUCCACCAAACAUCCUUCAUUUGGGGAUCAUGGGGCCGAAAUAGGAUCGACGAACGUCUAAAGGGGUUUGCUUUGUUCCGGUGAGAUACCACCGUUAUCGGUUCAAAAUGUAUAGUUGCAAAUGACAACCAUGCUCCAGUUGCGGUUGCUGCGUAAGCAGUACCCAAUACUGAAAACUUAACUCCUGCGGUUUAGCGACCACAGGCGGGGUUCGCAGGUACCUGGCAACAGAAACCUGCACU
rnacentral:tmRNA from 1 species